rnacentral:rRNA from 1 species
UACGUAGGGUCCGAGCGUUGUCCGGAAUUAUUGGGCGUAAAGGGCUAGUAGGCGGUUCGUCACGUCGGGAGUGAAAACUCGGAGCUUAACUCCGAGCCUGCUUCCGAUACGGGCAGACUAGAGGUAGGCAGGGGAGAGCGGAACUCCUGGUGUAGCGGUGGAAUGCGCAGAUAUCAGGAAGAACACCGGUGGCGAAGGCGGCUCUCUGGGCCUUACCUGACGCUGAGGAGCGAAAGCGUGGGUAGCGAACAGG